GAUGAACGCUGGCGGCGUGCCUAAUACAUGCAAGUCGAGCGAACAGACGAGGAGCUUGCUCCUCUGAUGUUAGCGGCGGACGGGUGAGUAACACGUGGAUAACCUACCUAUAAGACUGGGAUAACUUCGGGAAACCGGAGCUAAUACCGGAUAACAUGUUGAACCGCAUGGUUCAACAGUGAAAGACGGUCUUGCUGUCACUUAUAGAUGGAUCCGCGCCGCAUUAGCUAGUUGGUAAGGUAACGGCUUACCAAGGCAACGAUGCGUAGCCGACCUGAGAGGGUGAUCGGCCACACGGGAACUGAGACACGGUCCAGACUCCUACGGGAGGCAGCAGUAGGGAAUCUUCCGCAAUGGGCGAGAGCCUGACGGAGCAACGCCGCGUGAGUGAAGAAGGUCUUCGGAUCGUAAAACUCUGUUAUUAGGGAAGAACAAAUGUGUAAGUAACUAUGCACGUCUUGACGGUACCUAAUCAGAAAGCCACGGCUAACUACGUG
rnacentral:rRNA from 1 species